rnacentral:rRNA from 1 species
UGCCCUACAGUUCCCUGUCCGGGAACAAGGAGCUGGUAUCAGGCACACCCUAUUGAGCCCAUGACAUCUUGCUUAGCCACACCCUCAAGGGAACUCAGCAGUGAUAAACAUUAAGCCAUGAGUGAAAACUUGACUUAGUUAAAGCUAAGAGGGCCGGUAAAACUCGUGCCAGCCACCGCGGUUAUACGAGAGGCCCAAGUUGACAAACACCGGCGUAAGGCGUGGUUAAGUUAAAACUCUUACUAAAGCCGAACAUCUUCAAGGCUGUUAUACGCAACCGAAGACAGGAAGUUCAACCACGAAAGUGGCUUUAUCUAAUCUGAACCCACGAAAGCUAAGAAACAAACUGGGAUUAGAUACCCCACUAUGCCUAGCCCUAAACAUUGAUAGUACUAUACACCCACUAUCCGCCCGGGAACUACGAGCAAUAGCUUAAAACCCAAAGGACUUGGCGGUGCUUUAGAUCCACCUAGAGGAGCCUGUUCUAGAACCGAUAACCCCCGUUCAACCUCACCCUUCCUUGUUUAUCCCGCCUAUAUACCGCCGUCGUCAGCUUACCCUGUGAGGGACUAAUAGUAAGCAAAACUGGUACAACCUAAAACGUCAGGUCGAGGUGUAGCGUAUGGAGGGGGAAGAAAUGGGCUACAUUCGCUACUACAGCGAACACGAAUAGUGUACUGAAACAUACACUUGAAGGAGGAUUUAGCAGUAAGCAG